GCACACGUGAUCAAACAGGAGCGCUCACAGGUCUGUUCACCUGGCUACCUGCAUUCCACAGGAGCCUUCUGCUCUGCUUGGAAUCCCAGGAUAGAAAGGCUUGGUUGAUUUCGUUAGUAACGAGAAAGGAGGAGGGAGAGGACUCUCCGGGAAGAUGCAAGGAAUAGCAGAUGUGCCUGCAAACCCUCCGUGGCUGGCUGUUUGUGCAGCAGGGCCCCGAGGCGCAUACUGGGGCUGACUUCUCUCCUCAGAGCUUUUUCCUCCAAAUAAUGCAUUUUCUCCAGGGGAAAAAAACAAAACCAAAAACAAAGAAACAAAAAAAUCCCCACCAAAUAUACCUUCAAUAACAACAAAAAACCCAGAGACGUGGGAUUGACGGUGGUUUUUCCCUGAAUGCUAUGCCAAAUCUGGAAAUACUGGCGACUUAUGGGCCAUCUCACUCUGCCCAAGAGUUAAUGUGGAGUAGCCUGCAUCAGCCAUCACUUUUUGCAUUGCAAUGGCAAAGUUCCAGCUGACUUUAAUGGAGCCAGAAUUUCACCCCAGGUGCAUUAUUACAAUUGACUAGGGUCUGAUAGAUUGAUUCCUGAGAUGCUCUGGAUUCCAGAUGUGGAUCUCAUAAAGUUGUAGACUGUGGUGUAUGCAAAGCUUUUUUUUUUUCUUUUUUUUUUUUCUUUUUUUUUUCUUUUUUUUUUUCUUUUUUUUUUCUUUUUUUUUUCCCUAUUAAAUAAAUAAUAAUAAAGCACAGUCCUUGUAAGCAGUGCAAUGGAGAGUAUAUGCUUUUUUCUCCUCUGUCUUCCAAGAAAUACUUCCAUCUUCUUUCUCUACUACUUAUGAUCUCACAUUUAUAUAACAAGGAGAAAAAAACAAAACAACAACCAAAAAAAAAACCUCAGCUAGUGAGCUGCAUCUGGUUUAAUGUACAUGUAGAGCUGAGUCUGUGUGCCUGCUGAAAUUUUAUCAGCAACACCUACAAUAGAAAGUCUGAUCAGAAGCCAACUGUGUUAACAGAGACUGAAAAAUAGCCUAAAAAGCCAGGCAUUUUUUAGAGGAAUAGAGCAAAAGAAGCCUUUCUUUGCAAAAGGACUUGGUAUGAUAAAUAAAGGGAGAAGAGAGGAAACGAAGAGAGUUCUCCCACUACAAAAACAAACAAAAAACAAACAAACAAACAAAAACACACCUCA